CCACCUGGGGAUACCCUUAAAGCACUUCCAGCGGCAAGGAGAAGACUGCACAGGAGAGGGCCUAGGCUUGCAUGAUGGCUCUAGCUCGCAAAAGCAAGCCUGGGCAAGGCGUGGGGUUACCAACCCGGCCAAGCCCGCAAGCAAAUCCAGUAUGUGCUACUGCUUGGGCAAGUGACGUAAUGUUGACGUCAUAAGCCAAUUUAAAUAACAAAAAAAAGGAAAAAAAUACCAAAAAUUUCAGAUUUUUUUAAUUAUUAAAUAAAUACCUAACCAUAUUCUUU
rnacentral:lncRNA from 1 species